AGGGCCAUAGCUCAGUGGUAGAGCAUUUGCUUAGCAUGGGGAAGGUCCUGGGUUCAAUCCCCAAUGUUUCCA